rnacentral:tRNA from 3 species
GGUGCGUUGGACGAAUUGGUAGAGUCACCACCCUUUCAAGGUGGAAUUUCCGGGUUCGAUCCCCGGACGCAUCACCA